rnacentral:rRNA from 1 species
UACAUGCAAGUCGAGCGGACAGAAGGGAGCUUGCUCCCGGAUGUUAGCGGCGGACGGGUGAGUAACACGUGGGUAACCUGCCUGUAAGACUGGGAUAACUCCGGGAAACCGGAGCUAAUACCGGAUAGUUCCUUGAACCGCAUGGUUCAAGGAUGAAAGACGGUUUCGGCUGUCACUUACAGAUGGACCCGCGGCGCAUUAGCUAGUUGGUGAGGUAACGGCUCACCAAGGCGACGAUGCGUAGCCGACCUGAGAGGGUGAUCGGCCACACUGGGACUGAGACACGGCCCAGACUCCUACGGGAGGCAGCAGUAGGGAAUCUUCCGCAAUGGACGAAAGUCUGACGGAGCAACGCCGCGUGAGUGAUGAAGGUUUUCGGAUCGUAAAGCUCUGUUGUUAGGGAAGAACAAGUGCAAGAGUAACUGCUUGCACCAUGACGGUACCUAACCAGAAAGCCACGGCUAACUACGUGCCAGCAGCCGCGGUAAUACGUAGGUGGCAAGCGUUGUCCGGAAUUAUUGGGCGUAAAGGGCUCGCAGGCGGUUUCUUAAGUCUGAUGUGAAAGCCCCCGGCUCAACCGGGGAGGGUCAUUGGAAACUGGGAAACUUGAGUGCAGAAGAGGAGAGUGGAAUUCCACGUGUAGCGGUGAAAUGCGUAGAGAUGUGGAGGAACACCAGUGGCGAAGGCGACUCUCUGGUCUGUAACUGACGCUGAGGAGCGAAAGCGUGGGGAGCGAACAGGAUUAGAUACCCUGGUAGUCCACGCCGUAAACGAUGAGUGCUAAGUGUUAGGGGUUUCCGCCCCUUAGUGCUGCAGCUAACGCAUUAAGCACUCCGCCUGGGGAGUACGGUCGCAAGACUGAAACUCAAAGGAAUUGA